rnacentral:rRNA from 1 species
AGAACGAACGCUGGCGGCAGGCUUAACACAUGCAAGUCGAACGCUCGUAGCAAUACGGGAGUGGCAGACGGGUGAGUAACGCGUGGGAACAUACCCUCCGGUUCGGAAUAGCUCAGGGAAACUUGGAUUAAAUACCGGAUACGGCUGAGAGGCGAAAGAUUUAUCGCCGGAGGAUUGGCCCGCGUUCGAUUAGCUUGUUGGUGAGGUAACGGCUCACCAAGGCGAUGAUCGAUAGCUGGUCUGAGAGGAUGAUCAGCCACAUUGGGACUGAGACACGGCCCAAAACUCCUACGGAAGGCAGCAGUGGGAAUAUUGGACAAUGGGCGCAAGCCUGAUCCAGCCAUGCCGCGUGAGUGAUGACGGCCUUAGGGUUGUAAAGCUCUUUCGCUCGGGACAUAAUGACGGUACCGAGAUAAGAAGCCCGGCUAACUUCGCGCCAGCAGCCGC